AUACAUGCACCAAAGCUCCGACUUAUGGACGAGCGCAUCUAUUAGAUUAAAACCAAUCGGGCUUCGGCCCGUCAAUUGGUGACUCUGAAUAGCUAUGGCUGAUCGCAUGGUCUCGUACCGGCGACGUAUCUAUCAAGUGUCUGCCUUAUCAACUUUCGAUGGUAGUUUAUGUGCCUACCAUGGUUGUAACGGGUAACGGAGAAUAAGGGUUCGACUCCGGAGAGGGAGCCUGAGAAACGGCUACCACAUCCAAGGAAGGCAGCAGGCGCGCAAAUUACCCACUCUCGGCAUGAGGAGGUAGUGACGAAAAAUAACGAGACCGUUCUCUUUGAGGCCGGUUAUCGGAAUGGGUACAAUUUAAACCCGUUAACGAGGAUCUAUGAGAGGGCAAGUCUGGUGCCAGCAGCCGCGGUAAUUCCAGCUCUCAAAGUGUAUAUCGUCAUUGCUGCGGUUAAAAAGCUCGUAGUUGGAUCUGCGCCUCAGGACCCGGUCCGCCCAUUGGACGAGAACUGGGCUCCUAGGCUAGUCAAGCCGGUUUUCCCUACGUUGCCUUCAUCGGUCGCGUAGGGUAGCCAGCAAGUUUACCUUGAAAAAAUUAGAGUGCUCAAUGCGGGCUAACGCCUGAAUACUCGUGCAUGGAAUAAUGAAAUAGGAUCUCGGUUCUAUUUUGUUGGUUUUCUGAUCUGAGAUAAUGGUUAAGAGGGACGGACGGGGGCAUUCGUAUCGCUGCGUGAGAGGUGAAAUUCUUGGACCGUAGCGAGACGCCCGACUGCGAAAGC
rnacentral:rRNA from 1 species